UACGGAGGGUGCAAGCGUUGUCCGGAAUCACUGGGCGUAAAGGGCGCGUAGGCGGCUCAUGAAGGCUGUGGUGAAAGUCCGGGGCUCAACCUCGGAUCGGCCGUGGCGACUCGUGGGCUGGAGCACUGUAGAGGCGAGUGGAAUUCCCGGUGUAGCGGUGAAAUGCGUAGAUAUCAGGAGGAACACCGGUGGUGUAGACGGCUCACUGGACCGUAACUGACGCUGAGACACGAAAGCGUGGGUAGCAAACAGG
rnacentral:rRNA from 1 species